rnacentral:rRNA from 1 species
CCUACGGGAGGCAGCAGUGAGGAAUAUUGGUCAAUGGGCGCGAGCCUGAACCAGCCAAGUAGCGUGAAGGAUGACUGCCCUACGGGUUGUAAACUUCUUUUAUAAAGGAAUAAAGUUAGGCACGUGUGCCUUUCUGUAUGUACUUUAUGAAUAAGGAUCGGCUAACUCCGUGCCAGCAGCCGCGGUAAUACGGAGGAUCCGAGCGUUAUCCGGAUUUAUUGGGUUUAAAGGGAGCGUAGAUGGGUUGUUAAGUCAGUGGUGAAAGUAUGCGGCUUAACCGUAAAAUUGCAAUUGAUACUGGCAGCCUUGAGUACAGUUGAGGUAGGCGGAAUUCGUAGUGUAGCGGUGAAAUGCUUAGAUAUCACGAAGAACUCCGAUUGCGAAGGCAGCUUACUAAACUGCCACUGACAUUGAUGCUCGAAAGUGUGGGUAUCAAACAGGAUUAGAUACCCUAGUAGUC